ACCUUUCAUCACGAGAUUACCGCGCAUCACUAUUUCUCCGAUCGUUUUUCCAUCAGCGGCGACGGGCUCACCAGUUUGGCUACUGAUGACAUCUAGGCCCUCUAAGCCAAUGUAUCGGACACCUUGACGUGCAUUUAAGCGAGCUUGGGUUUCAGGUGGCAACGAGUCCCAUUCAGGCUUCCAUGCACACACCGUUGAAGGACCAUAGGUUUCUGAGAGACCAUAUGUGUGGGUGACACGGAAACCUUUUUGAGACAUUGCGAAGAGAACAGCAGAGGGUGGGGCAGCACCGGCUGUCAUUACGUGAACCACAUGAGGAAGGGGCAGAAUUGUGUCCUCGGAUGGGGCGUUAACUAUGGAAUUGAGCACCACAGGUGCAGCACAGAAGUGAGUCACGCCAUACUUCGCUAUGGCUGAGUAGACGCCCUUUGCUGUUACCUGCAAAUGCAAAAGAAACAAACUCGGACAUAAGCAAGUAAGACGCUAUGACCAUAGCUAAUGGAGAUUUAAGAGUGAAAACAUUAGCAUCAAGACUGAAUUUAUAAGGGAUAAAAGAACGCUCAGAGUCUCAAAUCAUGACAUGAAUGAAAGCAGAACAUCGGAAGGCCUCAUAGCACAAUAUGACUAUACUGAAUACACAGCUUCCAGGUUUCAACAUAGUUAUGCACAUUAGCAUCGAACAUCGAAGUACAAGGGAUGUAAUAAGUCUCAAAUGAUGACAUGAAUGAGAGUAGAAAAUCGGAAGGCCUUGUAGCACGGUAGGAUUAUACCGAAUAUACACCUUCGAGAUUUUGACAUAAUUAUACCUUGAGCUAGAUCGAUAGAUGAUUCGAGAACAAAUAAGCCAAUCUGUUUCAUAAACCAAAGUGAAAGCGACAAAAUUAUUUUGCCUACUAAUUACCUGUCUAAGGCAUAGGUUUGUUCCGCAAAGAGCUGCAAGUGCCCAAGUAAAACACCAUCCAUUACAGUGGAACAUGGGUAGUGUCCACAAGUAUAUGACUCCUUCAUUCAUGCCCCAUAUAAGAGGAUUACUCAAAGACAUGAGAUAUGCACCACGGUGAUGUAACACGACCCCUUUAGGG
rnacentral:lncRNA from 1 species